CUUACAACAUAUUUGCGCGUAUUUUUUACAAUUAAACUUUAAACAUACUUCAAAAUAAUUAUACUUUAGUAUAUUUUCUAAAAGUAUACUUUAGAAAAAUAUACUUAAAGUUAAAGUUUUGUGCAAUUUUUAAAGUAUACUAAAUUUAAACUUAUUUUAAAAUGUAUUUUAGGUAUACUUUAUCGGUAUGCUUAAAGUUAUCAUUAUAAUAAUGCACUGACAGUAUAUUUCUAAAAUACAUUAUUUAGUAUUCUUUAGAAACAGUAUAUUUUAAGCACAUUUUGAAAGUAUAUGGGGUGUACAAGUAUAUUAUUUUAUGGAGAAAUAACGUGGGCUUAAAAUUACGAGAGAGCAGUAUGUUCUGUUACAUUUUAUAUUGUAGAUGUAUACAUUUGUAAUAUACUAUUAACAUAAUAAGGUACACUUUAACUUCACUAUAGUCAAGCAUUGGAUAAACCAAUGAACUGUGUUUUACCACAAAAUGACCAUGGUUUUGCUAAUAAUAAUCAAUACACCAAAAAAAAAAACAUGGUUACUAAACUUUUGCCACAAAAAAACAUUCAUUUUCGUAAGGGGAAUAUGAGUGUUUGUUUUUUUGUAGUUUUUGAGUCAAUUGCAUACCGCUUUUAGCUGUACACAUUAAUUAACUUAAACAGUUUUCGUAAAUGCAUUUCAGAGAAAAGUGAAUUCUGAGAUUUGAAUAAUGCAUCUGACGUGUGGGAUGACGUCACGACGCACGUAUUUUGAUUUUUACCAGUCGCUCAAGACAGACGGAUUCAGUCCCAAGAAGCUAAAGUUUUUCAAAGACAUUUGUAGGGAGGACUUUGCAGCUAAUGAUUUCCUAAGCCUGAACCAAAACCUGCCAGACUAAAGUUGAUUUGGGAGAGAAAGACGUUGUAAACUUAAUCAUCUUGACAUUCUUCAAUGAGUAAUUGUUCAAUUUUUAGGCAAAUACUGUACACUUUGAAUGCUGUGAAUAAAACUAUAUUUUAAAUAUAUUUAAAAUGACUUGUUUUUGACUGUAUUAAUCAGCUUUUAUUUAUUUGGAAAAAAUUAUUUUGGUUAUGUUACCAGCAAGUAAUCUAUUCCCAAAAUAGCACUCUUUAAGUUAACUAAUUAUUAACGCACUUGAAGUAUACUCAUUACUAAUCUAGCUGCAGGUAUGUAAAAGUAUACAAAAUGUAAUGUACUUGGCAUAUUCAUUUUUCACCAGGGCAGUUUUUAGAAUUUUGGAUUGGCCAAAAAUAUAUAGAAUGUAUGCAAACAGUCUAUUUAAGGUAUACUGAUUGUAUGUUUGCAAGACACUCAUAAUACAUUUAUAAUGUACUCCUAACAUAAAUAAAACACACUCUAAAUCCACUUAUCAAGCAUGAAUUUAGCACAAAAACAGUCAUGUACUUAAAUUGUACUAAAUACACUUAAAGUUGUUCCACUUUAGCACACAAAAGUACACUAAAUACACUUAAAGUUGUACUUUGUUACAAUUAAUAUACAACUAAAAUAUAUUAAGUACAAAAUUAGUUGUUCCAAAAUAGCACUCUUUAAAUAAACUAAUCAAUAGCACACUUUAAGUAUACUGGUCAUUAGUGUGACUGCAAGUAUACUUAAGUAUAUCAAAAUUAAAUAUAUUUAGCAUACUAUUUUUUCACCAGGGAAGGUGCGCACACACACACACACAUUCAUUUGAAGCUUUAAAAAUAAUAAAAAUUAAGCACACACGAAAAAAAAAUAUAAAAAUACUAAUAAAUAAAUUAAAAUACAACACAUAUAGGGUAAGCGAGGCUUGGGCGUGGCGGCCUCGGAUUUGCACCCGGUUGGUUCCAUGCUGCACGCCUUGCUUUUUUAAUGCAUUGCACUCCAGUUGACACAAACAAAUGCUUGAACAUAAUAAUGAAAGGAAAAAAAAAAAACCAUACACAGGGAAGACGGGGCAUGUGUAUGGGUCGGCCUGGGGAUGGAUUUUGGGGCCCUGGGCCCCGCAGCACCUCACCUUGAUAGCUCGUUGUAACAUAACAGUGGUGGGGAUCUAACCUAUGCCAUAGCCAUGAGGGGGGUCAGAGGCAGUUUUAUAACACCUUAUUAUUAAUAUUUGUAUUAAUAUUAUCAUUAAUAUAUCAUUAUUAAUAUCCUUAUCAAAUAUUAUCAUUAUUACUAUUAUUAAUAUUAUUAUUACUAUUUUCAUAUAUUAUAACUACUACUAUCAUUACUACUAUUGGAUGUAUCAAUAUUACUAUUAUUUUGAUUAUUUUUUUUUUUUUAAUAUUAUUAUUGUUAUUAUCUCUACUAUUAUUUAUAAUCCUCUUCCUGAUCCUCCCUCUAAGUCCAGAUGAAAUUUGUAUAUUUAUUAAUUAAUUUGUUUAUUAUUUCUAUUACUACUAUCUGCCAUUUCAUAUUAAUAGAUUUUUCAUUAUUAUUAAUAUUGAUACUAUUAUUAUUAUUGCUAUUAUCACUUUCCUUAUCCAUUUUGUUUAUCUAUUUACUCCUAAUUAUGUCUGUUAUACUUCUGCUCCUUUAUUCAACAAUUUCAACUGUCAUAUCUAUUAUAGUUACACACACACACACACACACACACACACACACACACACACACACACUACUGGCUGUUAUGUUAUGUGUUUUGUUGGUCUUUGUACUUGUAUUUUUUU